UGGGGAAUCUUGGACAAUGGGGGCAACCCUGAUCCAGCCAUGCCGCGUGAGUGAUGAAGGCCUUAGGGUCGUAAAGCUCUUUCGCCUGUGAAGAUAAUGACGGUAGCAGGUAAAGAAACCCCGGCUAACUCCGUGCCAGCAGCCGCGGUAAUACGGAGGGGGUUAGCGUUGUUCGGAAUUACUGGGCGUAAAGCGCACGUAGGCGGACCAGAAAGUUGGGGGUGAAAUCCCGGGGGCUCAACCCCGGAACUGCCUCCAAAACUAUUGGUCUAGAGUUCGAGAGAGGUGAGUGGAAUUCCAAGUGUAGAGGUGAAAUUCGUAGAUAUUUGGAGGAACACCAGUGGCGAAGGCGGCUCACUGGCUCGAUACUGACGCUGAGGUGCGAAAGUGUGGGGGAGCAAAACAGGAUUAGAUACCCCUGGUAGUCCACACCGUAAAACGAUGAAUGCCAGUCGUCGGGGUAGCAUGCUAUUCGGUGACACACCUAACGGAUUAAGCAUUCCGGCCUGGGGAGUACGGUCGCAAGGUUAAAA
rnacentral:rRNA from 1 species